rnacentral:misc_RNA from 1 species
GAUGAAGCACGCAGCGAAAUGCGAUACGUAAUGUGAAUUGCAAAUUCAGUGAAUCAUCGAGUCUUUGAACGCACAUUGCGCCCCCUGGUAUUCCGGGGGGCAUGCCUGUCCGAGCGUCAUUGCUGCCCUCAAGCACGGCUUGUGUGUUGGGCCCCGUCCUCCGAUCCCGGGGGACGGGCCCGAAAGGCAGCGGCGGCACCGCGUCCGGUCCUCGAGCGUAUGGGGCUUUGUCACCCGCUCUGUAGGCCCGGCCGGCGCUUGCCGAUCAACCCAAAUUUUUAUCCAGGUUGACCUCGGAUCAGGUAGGGAUACCCGCUGAACUUAAGCAUAUCAAUAAGCGGAGGA